rnacentral:rRNA from 1 species
CCUACGGGAGGCAGCAGUGGGGAAUAUUGGGCAAUGGGCGCAAGCCUGACCCAGCAACGCCGCGUGAAUGAAGAAGGCUUUCGGGUUGUAAACUUCUUUUCUCAGGGACGAAGCAAGUGACGGUACCUGAAGAAUCAGCCACGGCUAACUACGUGCCAGCAGCCGCGGUAAUACGUAGGUGGCAAGCGUUAUCCGGAUUUACUGGGUGUAAAGGGCGUGUAGGCGGGGACGCAAGUCAGCUGUUAAAACCACGGGCUCAACCUGUGGCCUGCAUUUGAAACUGUGUUUCUUGAGUACUGGGGAGGCAGACGGAAUGCCUAGUGUAGCGGUGAAAUGCGUAGAUAUUAGGAGGAACACCAGUGGCGAAGGCGGUCUGCGGGACAGCAACUGACGCUGAGGCGCGAAAGCGUGGGGAGCAAACAGGAUUAGAUACCCCAGUAGUC